CUAAAUCAAUCCUAAGACAUGCAGGAUGGAGCAAUCAUAUCCUAAUAACCCAACUUGAUCCUCAACUAUUCAAUUUAUAUUACUCAAACAUGUUGUUCAUUGAUCAACACAAAACGAAUCAAACUAUAAAAAAUCCUGAAGUCCAGUCAAUUAGGAAUCAUUCAAAGCGGAUCAUUGAUGACUUUAAACAGAGGAAAAUAAAUCUGAGUAAACCAAA
rnacentral:lncRNA from 1 species